CAAUUUUGUUUUUAUAUAAGGGGGCGUCCAUAAAUUACGUGAGGUGUUUUUUUAAAUUUUCUGUCCCUCCCUCUCCCCUUGGUGAGAUGUCGUGAGGUUUUAGUCAACCCCCUCCCCCGUCCCCCAAUCUCACGUGAGAUUUUUCAGAAUGUGGGUUUAUUACG